rnacentral:rRNA from 1 species
UACGAAGGGGGGCUAGCGUUGCUCGGAAUUACUGGGCGUAAAGGGCGCGUAGGCGGACAUUUAAGUCGGGGGGUGAAAGCCUGUGGCUCAACCACAGAAUGGCCUUCGAUACUGUCAGGCUUGAGACCGGAAGAGGUAAGUGGAACUGCGAGUGUAGAGGUGAAAUUCGUAGAUAUUCGCAAGAACACCAGUGGCGAAGGCGGCUUACUGGUCCGGAUCUGACGCUGAGGCGCGAAAAGCGUGGGGAGCAAACAGG